rnacentral:lncRNA from 10 species
AUUAAUUUUUAUUUUUCUUUAUUGAUUUGUAGAAAUCCUUCAUCUAAUCUGGCAAACACAUGUGGCAGGUUUUUCUCACCGCAUAAAAUAUGUUAUAGAGUAGUCCAUCUAUUUCUCUUCCAUGGAAGAGUUCAUCUGGUAGAUUGGACUACCACUUUUCCUUGUGAGUAUAUUGAUUAUGUGUCCCUACCUGUUAUUAUUUGACUUACACUCUCUCUGUCCCUGAGAGUAUUCCUCGUGCAUUAGCGUUGGGAUUGGAUACACAAUUUAUAUGAGAAAUAAAUCUUUGUUGUUGCAGAUCACUGACACACGUGAGAUUUUUUGCAACUAUAGCAUAAAUGAACUGACACAUCAUUAAAAAUUAAAAUUACAUUUUUCUUUAAUGUCU